rnacentral:rRNA from 1 species
AAGUUAGUGGCGGACGGGUGAGUAUCGCGUAGGCAACCUGCCCUGUACAGGAGGAUAGCCACAGGAAACUGUGAUUAAUACUCCAUAAAGCCGGAAGAUCACAUGAGAAACCGGCCAAAGAUUUAUCGGUAUGGGAUGGGCCUGCGUCUGAUUAGCUAGUUGGUGGGGUAACGGCUCACCAAGGCAACGAUCAGUAGCCGACCUGAGAGGGUAAUCGGUCACAUUGGAACUGAGACACGGUCCAAACUCC